CAAUAUGCAGUUUGAUCAUUCCUGCUGCAAAUAGUAUACAUACUGUGAUUCUAUAUUGCAGAAAAGGUGUUAGAUGAUCGAUAUGUGCUAUAAUCUAAUAUAAGCCCCCCUCCAGUGUGGAGAGCAUAAUAACAUGAAUGUAGAGGGAAAGAAGUGUUUCCAAGGGCACAUAAUGCUUCUAGUACACAAAAAUAGGGUGAUCUGUGCCACUUUUGCUGCUAUCAAUUGCACAAAGUAGAUCACAUACAACACGUCCACCAACAGUACAUGCAAUUUUAUAGUUUGCGCACACAGAUAAGUGUGUGGGAAUUGGAUCCUCAAAGAUCAGGCUCUUAAUAUUUUCAGAAAAUGGGAGUAUUAUUAGAAUCAGACCUGCAGCUGGCUCUGUAUUGUUCUUUUUCCUCCUGCCUGACGUGGAUUUCGGUUCUUGCUGAGGUGUGUUUGCUGAUCUUCUUCUGGGUGUGGCUUCUUCUUGAGGUCCAUUUUCUUCUUCCUUUGUUGCUUUUGUGGGCUUUUUGGCUGCUUUUUUCUUCACUGUGCUGUCAGAGUUGUGUUUCCUGGACACCUGAAGUACAGCCACAAUGGGGUUAGAUUUCUAUGUGCUGGUGGUGAUUACCUACUGAAUAUACCUUUUUCUUGCGGGGGUAAUCAUGGUCUGCAUCUGUAUCUUUUCUCUUUUUGGCCUUUGGAGACUUUGAUUCUGGAGCCAUAGGACCUGGAUCGCCCUGAAAUGACACCAUUUUCUAUUAGUCAAUACAUGCUACAAAUAUAGUUGUUACGUAUGAAAAUGUGUUUGCAUACUUUGAACCACAUAGUCCUGCCAUUGUGGUCGCGUACAGACUUCAUUCCAUCCACAUAGUAACACUGCAACCAGGCCUCAAAACCUGAGUAGUCUUUCUUCUCUGGAUCGUAACCUUUCCCACCUCCAUAAACAAAAAGUCUAAAUAAGAGGAGCACCUUUGUGUCGUUGUCUUCCCCCCACCCCGAUCAACCUUGAAACAUGGAUUCUUACCUAAGUUCACCACCUCCAGCGGUACUGUGUGGCAAAGUCUGAGCAGGUCUGUAUUCUCCUCUUCCAUUUUGUCCUUUUUGGCUCCCUUAACAUUUUUGGGCAAAAUAAACUGUUAAUAAUCGAGGUAAAAUACUUGUUUGUACUUAUUUGACCUUUUUGCUAUGGAUCUC